rnacentral:ncRNA from 1 species
GAGCAGCCGUUAAGUGUAGAUCUUUGUGGUAGUAGAAAAUAUGCAAAUGAGAACUUUGAAGGCCGAAAAGGGGAAAGGUUCAAUGUGAACGGCACCAGCACAUGGGUUAGUCAAUCCUAUGGGUCGGGGGAACCCCGACAGAUAGCUCGUUUCGUGUGUACUACGUAAGGGAAUGGGUUAAAAUUCCUGAACCGGAACGUGGAGGUAGACGACAACGUUAGGAAGUCGGCAAACGUUGGUGGGAGCUUCGGGAAGAGUUGUAUUUUCUGGUUAAAAGCAUGCCCACCAUAGAACUCCAAGUGGGCCAUUUUUGUUAAGCUGGACUGGCGAUGAGGGAUGAACUGAAAGCCGGCUUAUGGUUCCAAACUGCAUUCUAACCAAGAUCCAACAAAGGGUGUUGGUCAAUUAAGACAGCAGGAAAGUGGUCAUGGAAGUCAAAAUCCGCUAAGGAGUGUGUACCAACUCACCUGCCGAGUAAACUAGCCCCGAAAAAGGAUGGGCACUUAAGUGCGCGAUCUACACUUAGCCGUCGGGGUAAGUGCCAGACCCCGAUGAGUUGGAGGGAAUGGCGGUAGCUACAAAACCUUGGGCAUGAGCCUGUGCGGAGCAGCCGUUAAGUGUAGAUCUUUGUGGUAGUAGAAAAUAUUGAAAUGAGAACUUUGAAGGCCGAAAAGGGGAAAGGUUCAAUGUGAACGGCACCAGCACAUGGGUUAGUCAAUCCUAUGGGUCGG